AAUGAACGCUGGCGGCAUGCCUAACACAUGCAAGUCGAGCGGAUGAAGGGAGCUUUUGCCUGGAUUCCGCGGCGGACGGGUGAGUGAUGCCCAGGAAUCUGCCUGGCAUGUGGGGAUAACGUCCGGAAACGGGCGCUAAUACCGCAGACGACCUGAUGGUGAAACGGGGGGAUCUUUGGACCUCACGCUAUCAGAUGAGCCUAGUUCGGAUUAGCUAGCUGGUAGGGUAAAGGCGUACCAAGGCGACGUUCCGUAACUGGUCUGAGAGGAUGAUCAGUCACACUGGAACUGAGACACGGUCCAGACUCCUACGGGAGGCAGCAGUAGGGAAUAUUGGACAAUGGGCGAAAGCCUGACCCAGCCAUGCCGCGUGUGUGAAGAAGGUCUUCGGAUUGUAAAGCACUUUUAGUUGGGAGGAACGGCAGUAAGUUAAUACCUUGCUGUUUUGACGUUACCAACUGAAUAAGCACCGGCUAACUUCGUG
rnacentral:rRNA from 1 species